AGGACCAAAUAUUAAUUAUUAUUUUAUUUCCAUUUUAAUUUACACGAGACUGUUCAAUUUUUCGGAAACAAUCUUGGUAUGAACUGAAUUGAAUUCAAACAUGUUGGGUGUUUGAUAUUCAAUAUCCUGAACACGAUAUCUUAUCGACCAAACAUCCAUUGUGUAUUACACCCAGUUUUUCGUGCUGCUGCUAUAGUAAAAGUUACGAUUCUCAAUCGGUACAUUUUCAGUGAAAUUCUUAGAAAAUAGGUGUUAUUAUUAAAAUUAAUCAAGUGCUGAAAUUGAAACGGAUGUUCUUGAUGACAACAGUAGCCAGAGUUUGAAUUGAUUUCGAUUUCAAUCAAUCUGAUGAUGUCUUAAAAAUUUGAAACAUGUCAGAUAGUGAAGAUUCAGAUGGAGAAGGUGGUCUGGGUAAUGUCAGCCGAAUAAUUAUUAGACCUCCGGGACAUAGCGGAAAAGCGAAACGUGGCCAUUUGUGUUUUGAUGCAGCAUUUGAAACGGGAAAUUUGGGUCGC